UUUUUAUGGAGAGUUUGAUCCUGGCUCAGGAUGAACGCUGGCGGCGUGCCUAAUACAUGCAAGUCGAGCGAACAGACGAGGAGCUUGCUCCUU
rnacentral:rRNA from 1 species